UUUUGCGGAAUCUAGUGGCCAAGGAUGCAGGCCUUUGGAGCCUGAGAGUUGUAAAAACCAGGAGACCCAAGUUCAAAUCUUGGCGGGGCUA
rnacentral:tRNA from 1 species